UCUUUUUUUUUUUUUGGGGGGGGGGGGGGGGGCGCGCUAAAAUAGUGAAAAAAAAUCAUAUGCCAAACGAAGCCAUUUCAUUAGUUGCUAGUGAAUUAUGAUGAUGAUGUUCACUUGCAUUGGUUAUGCAAUUGUGGAACGACUCUGAUCUAUAUUUUGGGCACUGAAUGCUAAAGAUUAGAAGAAGAAUUUCAAGAUGAAUGGCAAAUUUGAUUUUGUUGGGGAUGACUUUUGUCACAUGGUGCUGCUUUUCCUAACUUUUAAUUUGAUGUAGCAGUGUGAUUAGCCUUUGUUUGUUUAUUAUUUGAUUUCAUUAUUGUAAGGUUUUUUUUUAGUGUUUGGGAUUCACAAAUUUGUAUUAUUGCUUGGCAGAUUUGAUGUAGGGAUGGAGGACAAAAAUGCCUGUAAAUUUUGAAUUAGUCAUGCCUGGUUUGCUCGUCUUCCCCUCCUAUGUUUGUAUCUCAAAAUUAACACUCUCCUUUGUCCUCUUUUGCAAUCAUGCUCGUAUCUUUUUUAUUUUUCAUUUUGUUCACAUUUUGCUUUCCUAUUAGUUGGACAUAGAAGUUCUAGCCGGACCUGCUGAUAAACUGGUAGCCGUGUAUGCUAAUUCACUUUUGUUGUUGAUAUUUGUUUUUGGGUUUUUUGGUGGUGUUUUCACCCCCCACCCCCUACCCCCCUACUUCCCCUUCUGUGUUCUCUGAGUUUUAUUAGGCAGGUGAGAUGUACUGCCAUCCACACUCGUAUGCAAUUUUGUUAGCAAUUUGCUGAAGGUAUGCCCAAUUAUAUCCCAUUCAAGUCAUGGAUUGCGAAUCAUUGUGUAGAUACAAUUUCAGGCUGAUUUAGAGGAUCAUCAAAGAUAUCAUAAUUUGGAAUAUGAAUUCAAGUUUGAAUUCGAGAUUUUCUUCUUGAAAUAUGGUUUUUGGAUUUUUCAUGGAAGAUUACUCGCUCUAAUACAGUGCCUUUGGUGAGGUGUUUUGUUGGAUUCUGGUCACUUUUCUCUGACAAUUAUUAUCCAAAUUUUUCCUAAGCCCUAAAUUGCAGUUUGUGAAUUAUUACGGUAAAAAUUCCACUUGACGAUGCAUUCAAGUCGGUAAUAAGCUAUUUGUUCUCUUGGAUUUAGGGUUUGUAGUAUAUAUAGGGUUUUGUCCUGGAUAUUUUAGGCUUUGACCAUGUGUUCUAUAUUCAGGUUCAGGUAUAAAGAGUUUAAUUGGUUUUUGGGUUAGUAAGCUUUCUGUUUAUUAAUUUGAUUGAUGAUUGAUUCAAUGUAGGGAGGGAGGGCGGAAUGCUUGGGAAUUUGAGAUCAGUUUUACCUGGAUUGAAACAUCUUUUUUCAGAUGUUUUCAUCUCAAUUGUUUAGUCAAUUGAUAUAUUUUCUGUCUCUUUCAAUGCUGUUAGUAACUUUUGUCUCUGUUAGAUGUCUACAUUUUAAAGGAUUGCAGUACCUGCUGUUGAGCUGGUCAGAUCUAUUUGUUUACUUGUCCCUUUUUUGGUUUCCCCUGCCCUAUUUUUCUUUGGUUACUUGUAAUUAAGUUUAGUGAGUUGAUGAGAGGUACAGUCACCCAAUCUCUUCUGGUAAGAUUUUUAUUUGAGUUGUUCUAUAUUUGUAAGAUAUUUUUUGUGUAAUAGAAGAUAAUUUGUUCUCUCGGAGUCAUCCAUGCACGUAGUUUUGUAGGUGAUUUUUUAAGAGGAAAAUGGUCUUUGCUUAUCAAAAGAUUCAGGCUUACUUUCAAUUUAUUAUUAUUAUUUAUUAUUCAAGUAUCGUUUUUGAAGAUUUGUUGGCAUUUAUUAUAUUUUCUUUUUUUGUUGUUUUGAUUGGGAGUUCUACUUUUCCAUUCAAUUUUUAUUUUUAGUGUUGCGCUAGACUCAAAACCUUCCAUCUGUUGUGUCGUGGACCAAGUUCUACUCUUACACCAGUUGUACCUAGUGGAAAGCAUAUCUGGGAGUAUGGAUGAACUUUUUUGGAGAGUUGUUGCGGGAACUACGACAAUGAUGUUUUUCAACUGUUGGCGUAACCCUCGUAAAAAUUUGAUGCAACUUAUUAAUAUCGUUUUUCCAUAAACUAUUUCGAUUUUCUUCGUUAGUUGCUAGUGAAUUAUGAUGAUGUUCACUUGCAUUGGUUAUGCUACUAGGGAACGACUCUGAUCUAUAUUUUGGGCACUGAAUGCUAAAGAUUAGAAGAAGAAUUUCAAGAUGAAUGGCAAAUUUGAUUUUGUUGGGGAUGACUUUUGUCACAUGGUGCUGCUUUUCCUAACUUUUAAUUUGAUGUAGCAGUGUGAUUAGCCUUUGUUUGUUUAUUAUUUGAUUUCAUUAUUGUAAGGUUUUUUUUUAGUGUUUGGGAUUCACAAAUUUGUAUUAUUGCUUGGCAGAUUUGAUGUAGGGAUGCAGGACAGAAAUGCCUGUAAAUUUUGAAUUAGUUAUGCCUGUUUUGCACGUCUUCCCCUCCUAUGAUUGUAUCUUAAAAUUAACAUUCUUCCCUUCGUCCUCUUUUGCAAUCGUGCUCAUAUCUUUUUUAUUUUUCAUUUUGUUCACAUUUUUUUCUUCUACUAAUUGGUUGUCUUUGAAGGACAUAGAACAUGUAGGCGUACCUGUUGAUAAACUGGUAGCCGUAUAUGCUAAUUCCCUUUUGUUGUUGAUUUUUUUUUUUUUUUCCUUCUCUUUUGUGGGUUUUUGGUGGUGUUUUUACCCCCACCCACUACCCCCCUACUUCCGUGUUCUCUGAGUUUUAUUAGGCAGAUGAGACGUACUGCCAUCCACACACAUGAAAUUUUGUUAGCAAUUUGCCGAAGGUAUGCCGAAUUAUAUCCCAUUCUGAUCAUGGAUUGUGAAGCAUUGUGUAGAUGCAAUUUCUGGCUGAUUUUAAAGGAUCAUCCAAGAUAUGAUAAUUUGGAAUAUGAAUUCGAGUUUGUAUGGGUUACUUUUCCUAUGAAAUUCUUUGAAAUCUUCGAGUUGUUCUUUAGAUUGGUUUCGAUUUAGGAUAUUGGAUUUUUUGGUUUGGUGAUGGAGGAAUUCGAAAUUUUUUUUUUGGAAUAUUGGUUUUUGGAUUUUUCUUUGAUUUAGGGUUUAUAGUAAAUGGUUUUUGUCCUGGAUUUUUUUGGCUUUUAUCAUGUGUUCUUUCUAUAUUCAGGCUUACUUCCAAUUUAUUAUUAUUCAAGUAUCUUUUUUGAAGAUUUGUUGGCAUUUAUUUAAAAAAAAAAAUUAGAAUUUUUGGUGUUUUGAUUGGAAGUUCUUACUUUUCUUUUCAAUUUUUAUUUUUAGUGUUGUGCUGGACUCAAAUUCUCAAAUUCUGCCAUCUGUUGUGUCCUACACUUACACCAGUUGUACCUAGUGGAAAGGUUAGUGCCUUGUUUGCCACCAAUUUUUUUUAGGCAAAUCUAGGCACAUGUUUGUUGCAGUAGAUGAAAACAUCUGGGUUUUGCUGGUAAUUUUUAUUGAGCUGGUUUAUUGGUUUUCAAUACCAUGGGGUUUUUGCAGCAUAUCUGGGAGUGUGGAUCAACUUUAUUGGAGAGUUGUUGCGAGAACUACGACAAUGAUGUUUUUCAACUAUUGGCGUAAACCUUGUAAAAAUUUGAUGCAACUUAUUAAUAUUGUUUUUCAUAAACUGUUUAGACUUUAUUUGUUAGUUGCUAGUGAAUUAUGAUAAUGUUGUUCACUUGCAUUGGUUAUGCAACUAGGGAACGAUUCUGAUCUAUAUUUUGGGCACUGAAUGCUAAGGAUUAGAAGAAUAUCAAGAUGAAUAGCAAAUUUGAUUUUGUUUGGGAUGACUUAUGUCACAUGGUGCUGCUUUCCCUAACUUUUAAUGUAGCAGUAUGAUUAGCCCUUGUUUAUUUAUUAUUUGAUUUCAUUAUUUUAAGGUUUUUUUAGUGAUUGGGAUUCACGAAUGAGUAUUAUUGCUUGGCAGAUUUGAUGUAGGGAUGCAGGACAGAAAUGCCUGUAAAUUUUGAAUUAGUUAUGCCUGUUUUGCACGUCUUCCCCUCCUAUGAUUGUAUCUUAAAAUUAACAUUCUUCCCUUCGUCCUCUUUUGCAAUCGUGCUCAUAUCUUUUUUAUUUUUCAUUUUGUUCACAUUUUUUUUCUUCUACUAAUUGGUUGUCUUUGAAGGACAUAGAACAUGUAGCUCUACUUGUUGAUAAACUGGUAGCCGGAUAUGCUAAUUCACUUUCAUUGUUGAUUUUUGAUUUUUUGAUUUUUUAAUUUUUUUUAAUUUUUUGGUGGUGUUUUUGCCCCCUCCUCCGGUCUUCUUUCAGUUUUUUUAGGCUUAGUCUAACAGAUGAGCUGUACUGCAGUCCACACUCUCAUAUGAAAUUUUGUGAGCAAUUUGCCAAAGGUAUGCAGGAUUAUAUCCCAUUCUGAUCAUGGAUGGCGGAUCAUUGUUAGGAAACAUUGUAAGGCUUCUAGUUUCUUUUUGAUUCAUAUUCAAUAUGAAUAUACAUGCUUAAAAAUAGAGGUUUCCAGCUGCAUGACUAGUUCCUUUUAGGAAUCAUAUUUAUCAAUAUUCCUGAUUAAAAUUCCUUUUAGGACUCAUACUUAAUAUCAAUAUUUGUGAUUAAAUUUGGUGCGGUUAUUCCCUUUCUACCCUUGAGGUUUUUGAUUCUGUUGGGUCUAUGGAGGUUAUCCCCUUAUCAAUUGUUGCUGGUGGAAGCCUGCGGAGGAAGUCUAUGGAUAUGUUGUUAGUUGUGGUUUAAUACAUAGCCUUGUUUAUUGUUUUGUAGGUGUGGGAUUUAUUGGAUUGUUGGAUUUUAUUUUGGCUUGUUGAAACAUAGCCUUGAAUGUCUUCCUCUCCUGUGUUUGUAUGUCAAAAUUAACGCUCAUCUCCCCUUCUCGCUUCUAUUUUGCUAUCCUUUUCAUAUCUUUUUCCCCCCCUACUAAUGGUCAUCUUUGAAGGAUGGAACAUGUCGCAGCACCUGUGGGUGAACCAGUCAGACGUUUCCUUCUGGUCUCUUUCAUUGUUCAGUUUAUUGGUUUUUACCCACUCUUCCCUUAUGUCUUCUCUCAAUUUUAGUUAGAGGUCCUAAACUUUAGUUUAACAGGUGAGGUUCAAUAUGCAUACUUAAAAAAAUAGGACUCCAGUUGCGUGACAAGUAGUUUCUUUCUGAAUUCAUAUUCAAUAUAAGUAUGCAUGUAAGUGUUGUGAUCUGAAGACGUAAAGACAAUUAUUGUUAUAUAUAUAGUACUUCCAAUUCAUGACAUUUAUUGUUUUAUGAAAUACUAAAUAAUUUGUUCUUUUUAAUUCAUCAAUGCAGGUAAUUUAGCAUAAUUUUUUUUAGUAAAGUGUUCUGUGCUUAAUGAAUGAAGAUUUAAUGUUUUUUUCCAAUUAUUUGAAUAUUUUUUCAUUGAUUUUUUUGGUAAGGGUAUAAAAGUAGGGACUAGUUAUAUUGUCUUUUUGAAGAGAGUUUGAUUUCAAAAAAUGAACAAAAUUGUUGUUAUGGAUCAAGUCUAAGGACGUGUUAGUUGUUGUUGAAAACAUAGCCUUGUUUAUUGUUGCCUAGCUUCAUGACCAAUUAGUGGUGUGAUAUAAAGAGGAUUCUAGCUGCUAGUAAGUUCUUUCUGGAUUCAUAUUGAAUAUCAAUAUGCAUGUUUAAAAAGUAAGUGGUGUGAUCCAAAGAAGUAACUUAUUUAUUGUUACGUGAAAUAUUAGAUCAUUUCUUGUCUCUAAGGACUCUGACAUAGAUUUUUGGAUAUGAAUGCCAAGGAUUAGAAGAAUUAAACAUAGUUUAACAGGUGAGAGCUACUGUAUUCCGUACUUUCUUUUGGGAUUUUGUAUUUACUGUAUAAUAGUAUAGAAAUAGGAUUAUUUUCAAAUUUUUUUAGGAGUUGUUGAUUGGCCAUCUGUUUUUAGUGUUCUUUGUUGUUUGUGAUUGUGUUUUAUGUUAGUCUUGUUUGUAACCAAAAGUUUGUUUUCUGCAAAUCUAAGAUGCGUUUUUGCUGAUGCUGAAUUUGUCAUCUUCUUAUUGUUUUGUGCAGGGGUGGGUUCUGUUGGAUUUUAUUUAUGUAGGUAGGUUUGUUUUGUACUUCUCCAUUUUGGUAUGUUGCAGCUGAUAUGAGUGUAGAUGAAUUUGUAUGGGGAGCUGCGGGACUAUGACUGUUGUUUAAAAUGUUGGCAUAACCCGUUGGGGAUGGGGGAUAGCUUGAACUGGAUUCUGGGAUGUGAAUGGCAAGGAUUAGAAGAAUGUCACAUUGAAUGGCAAGCCAGAAUUGUUUGGGAUGGCCCACAGUUAAGGCUGCUCUUUCUGAACUGGAUUCUCUGGGGUAUGCCAGAAUUGGUUGAGAUCGCCUACAGUUCAUGGUUCUUGGGAGCAUUGUAUAAAUUUUACUAUAGAAAGUAUUAUUAGACCUUAGUUGUGGAUUAUUUGAGUUCAUUUUUAUGGUUUUUAAGUGUUGGGUUUCACUGUUCCAUUUUAUUGGUUGGUUGACAAUGUAGGGAUGGGGGACAGAAUUUGUUGGAAUUUAUGAUCAGUUAUGCCUGGUUUGAAACAUUUU